UGGGAGAAUGAUCUCGUAAUCACGAAACUUCUAAGUACCGGAGUGUGGUAUCGUCUUGACUUGCCUUAUCUGUCUCGUAGGUAGAUGUGGCAUCUUCUCUGGAAGUACUCUUCCUCCAUCCAGGGGUGGUAUCUUUAACUGGUGGAGAUGCACAAGGUAAUGUAUCAAUUUCACUUGAAGCUUACUUGUAGUUUCAGGCUUGGUCAAUCGCGAUACAAAC
rnacentral:lncRNA from 1 species